GCCUAGCUGGCUCAGUUGGUAGAGCAUGCGACCCUUGAUCUCAAGGCCAUGAGUUCAAGCCCCACUUUGGGCA
rnacentral:tRNA from 1 species